CCUACGGGGGGCUGCAGUGGGGAAUAUUGGACAAUGGGGGCAACCCUGAUCCAGCCAUGCCGCGUGUGUGAAGAAGGCCCUCGGGUUGUAAAGCACUUUCAGUGAGGAAGAACGCCUGGUGGUUAAUACCCAUCAGGAAAGACAUCACUCACAGAAGAAGCACCGGCUAACUCCGUGCCAGCAGCCGCGGUAAUACGGAGGGUGCGAGCGUUAAUCGGAAUUACUGGGCGUAAAGCGCGCGUAGGUGGCUUGAUAAGCCGGUUGUGAAAGCCCCGGGCUCAACCUGGGAACGGCAUCCGGAACUGUCAGGCUAGAGUGCAGGAGAGGAAGGUAGAAUUCCCGGUGUAGCGGUGAAAUGCGUAGAGAUCGGGAGGAAUACCAGUGGCGAAGGCGGCCUUCUGGACUGACACUGACACUGAGGUGCGAAAGCGUGGGUAGCAAACAGGAUUAGAUACCCCAGUAGUC
rnacentral:rRNA from 1 species